CGUCGACCAGCUCGCGGCUGGCGUCGCGCUGAUUGAUGUUCAGCGCGAUGCAAUCGUAUUUGCGCAGCCGUUCGAGCCAGUCGGCCGNNNN
rnacentral:tRNA from 1 species